UACGUAGGGUGCAAGCGUUACUCGGAAUUACUGGGCGUAAAGCGUGCGCAGGCGGUUUUGUAAGGCUGACGUGAAAGCCCCGGGCUUAACCUGGGAAUUGCGUUGGAGACUGCAAGGCUUGAAUCUGGCAGAGGGGGGUAGAAUUCCACGUGUAGCAGUGAAAUGCGUAGAGAUGUGGAGGAACACCGAUGGCGAAGGCAGCCCCCUGGGUCAAGAUUGACGCUCAUGCACGAAAGCGUGGGGAGCAAACAGG
rnacentral:rRNA from 1 species